AGUGAACGCUGGCGGUAGGCCUAACACAUGCAAGUCGAACGGCAGCACAGUAAGAGCUUGCUCUUACGGGGGGCGAGUGGCGGAAGGGAGAGGAAUACAACGUAAUCUACUUUUUCGUGGGGGUUAACGUAGGGAAACUUACGCUAAUACCGCAUCCGAUCUACGGGUGAAAGGAGGGGAUCUUCGGACCUUGCGCGAUUGAAUGAGCCGAUGUCGGCUUAGUUAGUUGGCGGGGUCAAGGCCAAGCAAGGCGACGAACCGUAUCUGGUCUGGGUGGAUGAUCACCCACCCUGGAACUGAGACGCGGUCCAGGCGACUGAGAGAGGCAGCAGUGUGGAAUAGUGGACAGUGGGCGCAAGCCUGAUCCAGUCAGAGCGCGCGUGUGAAGAAGGCGUUCGGGGUGUAAAGCCCUUUUGUUGGGAGAGAAAAGCAGCAGGUUAUUACCCCGCUGUUCUGACGGUACCCAAAGAAUAAGCACCGGCUAACUUCGUG
rnacentral:rRNA from 1 species